AACAGACUGACCUGGACUAAAUUUAGUUGCUGUGGCAUACCCCACAGGAGAGCUGGCUAUCGGACAGACAGAGUACUCUGUAUUCGUCUGUUCUCAUGUUGCUAAGAAAGACAUACUUGAGAUGGAGUGAUUUAUAAAGGAAAGUGAUUUAAUUGACUCACAGUUCCACAUGGCCAGGGAGACCUCACAAUCAUGGCGGGAGGCAAAUGAAGAGCAAAGUCACAUCUUACAUGGUGGCAGGCAUUCUAUCCCAGGAGCACCGAGGACAGAGUCCUUGCUUCCUGUCAGGGAGACCAUCUCUCUUGGUAUCCACAGUGAGCCAAGUGAAAUGCAUCGAGAAGAAAUCAUAUCCACAGAAUUCUCCAGGAAGAGUGCUCAAUGCUGAUACCGAUGCAG